GGGUUGUGAGGUUAAGCGACUAAGCGUACACGGUGGAUGCCCUGGCAGUCAGAGGCGAUGAAGGGCGUGCUAAUCUGCGAUAAGCGCCGGUAAGGUGAUAUGAACCGUUAUAACCGGCGAUACCCGAAUGGGGAAACCCAGUGUGACUCGUCACACUAUCAUUAACUGAAUCCAUAGGUUAAUGAGGCGAACCGGGGGAACUGAAACAUCUAAGUACCCCGAGGAAAAGAAAUCAACCGAGAUUCCCCCAGUAGCGGCGAGCGAACGGGGAGGAGCCCAGAGCCUGAAUCAGCAUGUGUGUUAGUGGAAGCGUCUGGAAAGGCGCGCGAUACAGGGUGACAGCCCCGUACACAAAAGCGCAUGUGCUGUGAGCUCGAUGAGUAGGGCGGGACACGUGGUAUCCUGUCUGAAUAUGGGGGGACCAUCCUCCAAGGCUAAAUACUCCUGACUGACCGAUAGUGAACCAGUACCGUGAGGGAAAGGCGAAAAGAACCCCGGCGAGGGGAGUGAAAAAGAACCUGAAACCGUGUACGUACAAGCAGUGGGAGCCCCACCACUAAGCCAGUGGUGAACUCCACAUCCGCAUCCUUUGCUGAGGAUACGGUUAACGGAGCGAAAGCGACGUUCAACCGCAAAACAAGCAGAGGGGGCUUAGUGGUGGGGUGACUGCGUACCUUUUGUAUAAUGGGUCAGCGACUUAUAUUCUGUAGCAAGGUUAACCGAAUAGGGGAGCCGGAGGGAAACCGAGUCUUAAUUGGGCGUUAAGUUGCAGGGUAUAGACCCGAAACCCGGUGAUCUAGCCAUGGGCAGGUUGAAGGUUGGGUAACACUAACUGGAGGACCGAACCGACUAAUGUUGAAAAAUUAGCGGAUGACCUGUGGCUGGGGGUGAAAGGCCAAUCAAACCGGGAGAUAGCUGGUUCUCCCCGAAAGCUAUUUAGGUAGCGCCUCGUGAAUUCAUCUCCGGGGGUAGAGCACUGUUUCGGCUAGGGGGCCAUCCCGGCUUACCAACCCGAUGCAAACUGCGAAUACCGGAGAAUGUUAUCACGGGAGACACACGGCGGGUGCUAACGUCCGUCGUGAAGAGGGAAACAACCCAGACCGCCAGCUAAGGUCCCAAAGUCAUGGUUAAGUGGGAAACGAUGUGGGAAGGCCCAGACAGCCAGGAUGUUGGCUUAGAAGCAGCCAUCAUUUAAAGAAAGCGUAAUAGCUCACUGGUCGAGUCGGCCUGCGCGGAAGAUGUAACGGGGCUAAACCAUGCACCGAAGCUGCGGCAGCGACGCUGAUGCGUUGUUGGGUAGGGGAGCGUUCUGUAAGCCUGUGAAGGUGUGUCGUGAGGCAUGCUGGAGGUAUCAGAAGUGCGAAUGCUGACAUAAGUAACGAUAAAGCGGGUGAAAAGCCCGCUCGCCGGAAGACCAAGGGUUCCUGUCCAACGUUAAUCGGGGCAGGGUGAGUCGACCCCUAAGGCGAGGCCGAAAGGCGUAGUCGAUGGGAAACGGGUUAAUAUUCCCGUACUUGGUGUUACUGCGAAGGGGGGACGGAGAAGGCUAUGUUGGCCGGGCGACGGUUGUCCCGGUUUAAGCGUGUAGGUGUGUGUUCCAGGUAAAUCCGGUUCACUUUAACACUGAGGCGUGACGACGAGGCACUACGGUGCUGAAGCAACAAAUGCCCUGCUUCCAGGAAAAGCCUCUAAGCAUCAGGUAACAUCAAAUCGUACCCCAAACCGACACAGGUGGUCAGGUAGAGAAUACCAAGGCGCUUGAGAGAACUCGGGUGAAGGAACUAGGCAAAAUGGUGCCGUAACUUCGGGAGAAGGCACGCUGACACGUAGGUGAAGUGAUUUACUCAUGGAGCUGAAGUCAGUCGAAGAUACCAGCUGGCUGCAACUGUUUAUUAAAAACACAGCACUGUGCAAACACGAAAGUGGACGUAUACGGUGUGACGCCUGCCCGGUGCCGGAAGGUUAAUUGAUGGGGUCAGCGCAAGCGAAGCUCCUGAUCGAAGCCCCGGUAAACGGCGGCCGUAACUAUAACGGUCCUAAGGUAGCGAAAUUCCUUGUCGGGUAAGUUCCGACCUGCACGAAUGGCGUAAUGAUGGCCAGGCUGUCUCCACCCGAGACUCAGUGAAAUUGAACUCGCUGUGAAGAUGCAGUGUACCCGCGGCAAGACGGAAAGACCCCGUGAACCUUUACUAUAGCUUGACACUGAACAUUGAGCCUUGAUGUGUAGGAUAGGUGGGAGGCUUUGAAGUGUGGACGCCAGUCUGCAUGGAGCCGACCUUGAAAUACCACCCUUUAAUGUUUGAUGUUCUAACGUGGACCCGUAAUCCGGGUUGCGGACAGUGUCUGGUGGGUAGUUUGACUGGGGCGGUCUCCUCCUAAAGAGUAACGGAGGAGCACGAAGGUUGGCUAAUCCUGGUCGGACAUCAGGAGGUUAGUGCAAUGGCAUAAGCCAGCUUGACUGCGAGCGUGACGGCGCGAGCAGGUGCGAAAGCAGGUCAUAGUGAUCCGGUGGUUCUGAAUGGAAGGGCCAUCGCUCAACGGAUAAAAGGUACUCCGGGGAUAACAGGCUGAUACCGCCCAAGAGUUCAUAUCGACGGCGGUGUUUGGCACCUCGAUGUCGGCUCAUCACAUCCUGGGGCUGAAGUAGGUCCCAAGGGUAUGGCUGUUCGCCAUUUAAAGUGGUACGCGAGCUGGGUUUAGAACGUCGUGAGACAGUUCGGUCCCUAUCUGCCGUGGGCGCUGGAGAACUGAGGGGGGCUGCUCCUAGUACGAGAGGACCGGAGUGGACGCAUCACUGGUGUUCGGGUUGUCAUGCCAAUGGCACUGCCCGGUAGCUAAAUGCGGAAGAGAUAAGUGCUGAAAGCAUCUAAGCACGAAACUUGCCCCGAGAUGAGUUCUCCCUGAGACUUUAGGUCUCCUGAAGGAACGUUGAAGACGACGACGUUGAUAGGCCGGGUGUGUAAGCGCAGCGAUGCGUUGAGCUAACCGGUACUAAUGAACCGUGAGGCUUAACCUUACAACGCCGAAG
rnacentral:rRNA from 1 species